rnacentral:rRNA from 1 species
GAUUUCUGGUACGGUGCGCCUGACCCACUGUCGAAAGGCGUGUGAAGUGUCGGUGUGCGUCUGCCAUCCUUCUAGGAAUCCUGUCGCACUUCAAUGGGCGGCAGCGCUGAACUAGAUCUUUUACUUUGAAAAAAUUAGAGUGUUUAAAGCAGGCUUGCGCCUUGAAUACAUUAGCAUGGAAUAAUAAUUUAGGACUUUGUUCCUAUUUUGUUGGUUUUAAGGAAUGAAGUAAUGAUUGAUAGGGAUAGUUGGGGGUGCUAGUAUUCAUCGGCCAGAGGUGAAAUUCUUGGAUUCGAUGAAGACUAACUUAUGCGAAAGCAUU